GCAAGUCGAGGGGCAUCGGGAAGAAAGCUUGCUUUCUUUGCCGGCGACCGGCGCACGGGUGAGUAACACGUAUCCAACCUGCCCUUUACUCGGGGAUAGCCUUUCGAAAGAAAGAUUAAUACCCGAUGGCAUAAUGAUUCCGCAUGGUUUCAUUAUUAAAGGAUUCCGGUAAAGGAUGGGGAUGCGUUCCAUUAGGUUGUUGGUGAGGUAACGGCCCACCAAGCCUUCGAUGGAUAGGGGUUCUGAGAGGAAGGUCCCCCACAUUGGAACUGAGACACGGUCCAAACUCCUACGGGAGGCAGCAGUGAGGAAUAUUGGUCAAUGGGCGCUAGCCUGAACCAGCCAAGUAGCGUGAAGGAUGAAGGCUCUAUGGGUCGUAAACUUCUUUUAUAUAAGAAUAAAGUGCAGUAUGUAUACUGUUUUGUAUGUAUUAUAUGAAUAAGGAUCGGCUAACUCCGUGCCAGCAGCCGCGGUAAUACGGAGGAUCCGAGCGUUAUCCGGAUUUAUUGGGUUUAAAGGGAGCGUAGGUGGACUGGUAAGUCAGUUGUGAAAGUUUGCGGCUCAACCGUAAAAUUGCAGUUGAUACUGUCAGUCUUGAGUACAGUAGAGGUGGGCGGAAUUCGUGGUGUAGCGGUGAAAUGCUUAGAUAUCACGAAGAACUCCGAUUGCGAAGGCAGCUCACUGGACUGCAACUGACACUGAUGCUCGAAAGUGUGGGUAUCAAACAGGAUUAGAUACCCUGGUAGUCCACACAGUAAACGAUGAAUACUCGCUGUUUGCGAUAUACAGUAAGCGGCCAAGCGAAAGCAUUAAGUAUUCCACCUGGGGAGUACGCCGGCAACGGUGAAACUCAAAGGAAUUGACGGGGGCCCGCACAAGCGGAGGAACAUGUGGUUUAAUUCGAUGAUACGCGAGGAACCUUACCCGGGCUUAAAUUGCAGUGGAAUGAUGUGGAAACAUGUCAGUGAGCAAUCACCGCUGUGAAGGUGCUGCAUGGUUGUCGUCAGCUCGUGCCGUGAGGUGUCGGCUUAAUUGCCAUAACGAGCGCAACCCUUAUCUUCAGUUACUAACAGGUCAUGCUGAGGACUCUGGAGAGACUGCCUCCUAAANNNUGAGAAAAGGGGGGGGGGNGNCUCCANNNACCCCGGCCCUUNNUUCCGGGGGUCCCCCCGUGUUUAAAGGGGGG
rnacentral:rRNA from 1 species